rnacentral:rRNA from 1 species
AUUGAACGCUGGCGGCAGGCCUAACACAUGCAAGUCGAACGAGUGGCGGACGGGUGAGUAAUGUCUGGGAAACUGCCUGAUGGAGGGGGAUCACUACUGGAAACGGUAGCUAAUACCACAUACCAUCGGAUGUGCCCCGAUGGGAUUAGCUAGUAGGUGGGGUAAAGGCUCACCUGGGCGACGAUCCCUAGCUGGUCUGAGAGGAUGACCAGCAAAACUGGGACUGAGACACGGCCCAGACUCCUACGGGAGGCAGCAGUGGGGAAUAUGGGACAAUGGGCGAAAGCCUGAUCCAGCCAUGCCGCGUGUGUGAAGAAGGUCUUAGGAUUGUAAAGCACUUUAAGUUGGGAGGCGUUACCAACAGAAUAAGCACCGGCUAACUUCGUGCCAGCAGCCGCGGUAAUUC